rnacentral:rRNA from 1 species
AACGAACGCUGGCGGCGUGCCUAACACAUGCAAGUCGUGCGGGAAAGCAGGGGCAACUCUGCGAGUACAGCGGCGCACGGGUGAGUAACACGUAGGUAACCUACCUCCGAGACUGGGAUAACCUGUCGAAAGACGGGCUAAUACCGGAUAAGACCACAACGGCUGCGGUUGUUGGGGUAAAAGGUGGCCUCUGCUUGCAAGCUACCACUUGGGGAUGGGCCUGCGCGCCAUUAGCUAGUUGGCGGGGUAACGGCCCACCAAGGCAGAGAUGGCUAGCUGGUCUGAGAGGAUGGCCAGCCACACUGGGACUGAGACACGGCCCAGACUCCUACGGGAGGCAGCAGUGGGGAAUCUUGCGCAAUGGGCGAAAGCCUGACGCAGCGACGCCGCGUGGGUGAUGAAGGCC